AGAGUUUGAUCAUGGCUCAGGAUGAACGCUGGCGGUGUGCCUUAAGCAUGCAAGUCGAACGGUAAAUCACCUUCGGGUGAUACGAGUGGCAGACGGGUGAGUAACACGUAGGAAUCUACCUUAAAGUGGGGGAUAGCUGGCCGAAAGGCCAAUUAAUACCGCAUGUGGUCGCAAGACCAAAGUCGUAAGACGCUUUAAGAGGAGCCUGCGCGCUAUCAGCUAGUUGGUGAGGUAACGGCUCACCAAGGCGAUGACGGCUAGCCGAUGUGAGAGCAUGAUCGGCCACAAGGUAACUGAGACACGGUGCCUACACCUACGGGUGGCAGCAACUGGGAAUAUUGCGCAAUGGGCGAAAGCCUGACGCAGCGACACCGCGUGUGGGAUGAAGUAUUUCGGUAUGUAAACCGCUGUGGCAGGGGAAGAAUUUUGACCGUACCCUGCUAGAAAGCACCUGCUAACCACGUGCCAGAAGCCUCGGUAAUACGUGGGGUGCAAGCGUUAUCCGGAUUUACUGGGCGUAAAGCGUACCGUCGGCGGUUUUUCAAGUCUCUUGUUUAAGCCCAAGGCUCAACUUUGGACAAGCAAGAGAAACUGAUAAACUUGAAUCUGUUCGGGGUAGUUGGAAUUCUCGGUGGAGGGGUGAAAUCCGUAGAUAUCGAGAGGAACGCCAAUCGCGUAGGCAGACUACUAGAACAAGAUUGACGCUCAGGGACGACAGCUAGGGUAGCCAAGCGGAUUAGAGACCCGUGUAGUCCUAGCCGUAAACUUUGAAUGCUAGCCUCCUGGCGCAAGCUGGGGGACGUAAGCUAACGCGUUAAGCAUUCCGCCUGGGGAGUACGACCGCAAGGUUAAAACUCAAAUGAAUUGACGG
rnacentral:rRNA from 1 species